AUACGUAGGGGGCGAGCGUUAUCCGGAAUUAUUGGGCGUAAAGAGUACGUAGGUGGUUGCGUAAGCGCAAGGUGAAAGACCGGGGCUUAACUUCGGUGAGCCUUGUGAACUGCGUGACUUGAGUGCAGGAGGGGAAAGUGGAAUUCCUAGUGUAGCGGUGAAAUGCGUAGAUAUAAGGAAGAACACCAGUGGCGAAGGCGGUCUACUGGACAGUAACUGGCGCUGAGGCGCGAAAGCGUGGGGAGCAAACAGGAUUAGAUACCCUGGCAGUCCACGCUGUAAACGAUGAAUACUAGGUGUGGGGGGACUGACCCCCUCCGUGCCGCAGUUAACACAAUAAGUAUUCCACCUGGGGAGUACGGCCGCAAGGUUGAAACUCAAAUGAAUUGACGGGG
rnacentral:rRNA from 1 species